rnacentral:lncRNA from 1 species
GCGAUGCAGCUCUCCCAGGAGCAGAGAAUCACCCUGGCAGGAGCGUGGAAUCCUGGCUGAGUUCUUCCCAUUUGGUAUCAACAGCAUUUUAUAUCAGCACAGCACAUACCCACCUGAAGCCUUCAUUGGAGUGCAGAGUACAGACUCACCUUGCUUGUAACUACAGAUCCUGUGCUCAUACAAUACCUAAAUAAUGUGCUCGAACAACCAAAGGAUUGGCUAUACAAAUGUUCGUUCAUAAAUUCGCCACAGUCAUUGCAAAUAUUGAAAGUGGUGAUGUCCUUGAAGGAAGGCACUUUGAUACUGAGUGUGACAAGACUGCAAAAGAUGACGGUGCACCCAGAGAACAGAGAGCGCACCCAGAGAAAGGAGGACAGGUAACCCAGAGAAAGGAGGACACUGAACCCAGAGAAAAGUCUCAGAAAGCUAUCCAGGACAAAAUCCAUCCAGCGAUCAGAUGAACCACAGUUAGUGACAUUUCUGCAACUGUUGAAUUUUCUUGUUCAUUCGAUCUAUGAUUUAUGCAAAGAUCUGGUUGUACCUGGAAGAUGGGAAGAGUGGGGACCACAGUUCAUGACCAAU